CCUGGCUCAGCCAGGACUGAGGGAGUUAAACUCCUUGGGAGUUUUCCAGUCAACCUCAUCGCCUUUUCCCACCGUGGGGGAGGAGGAGUGAUGAGAAACUGGCUGGACCCUGCAGCAGCAGCGAAUUGGACCAGUGAAUCCGAGAACAGAGAGAGAGAGAGAGAGAGAGAGAUUCAGUUGGACUCAUUUCCAGGAAGAAAGAAGAAUUCUAGCUGCAACAGAGCAAAACUGCUGUCUUAAAAAUAAGAGACACCAGUGCUGCAGAAAAUUAAUUUGGAAGAGCUGUGACCUGAAAGUGAAAAGAGGACUUCUCCUUUCUUUCUGGACUCUUUUUUGAAGGAAAGGAAAGAUGAUCUAUGUAUAUCUAUUGUUUCACUAUAGAAGAGAUAGUUAAAAUUGUUAUAUAUAUUUAUAUAUGUAUAUGUUAAUAAUAAACUGUAAUAUAUUCCCUUCCCCCUAUA